AGUAAGAACAUUUGCCGAGGACCAGGUAGUUCCCCACACCCACAGGGCAGCUCAUAACCAUCUGUAACUCCAGCUCCAGAGGAAUCUUAUGCCAUUCUCUGGCCUCCCUGGGCCCAGUCAUGCACUUGACACACAUGAAUACAUGCAGGUAAACACUCAUAUACAUAAAAUACAAACAAACGUUCUAAAGAAGAAUGGGAACCACUUACUUUUGAAAAGUGUCUUUUGGAAGGACUGAGUUGGAUAUGGUGGCCCAUUCCUGUAAUCUCAGACCUUGGGAUGUAGAGGCAGAAAGAUGGGAAAUUAAAAGGUUAUGUUUGGUUACAUAGUAAGUUCAAAGGCAACCUGAGUUUUAUGUAUGACCUUAUUUCAAACAGACAAACAAACAACAUACAAACAAAAAAUGGUCAAACUGUUAAAGUAUCUAUGAUUUUUUUUUCCCUAAGUGAAAUGAUUAAUUCUUCAGCCACCAUCAGAUACUGGUUAGAUUUUCAAAGAUUUACUUAAAAGUUCAUCUGAGAAGGACGUGAACAGUUAGAUAUUAUUCAGGCUGUGUGACCAGGCAUGCUUUAAAACUAUUAAAGAGUAAGACCUGUUCUAUGUUUUUUUUUUGUUUUUUGUUUUUUUUUUUUUUUCUUUUCUUGAGGUAUAAAGCAGCUUUCCUCCCUGCUUGUUCAGAGGUUGGGGAAGUGAGGGACAGAAGGCUGCUUCUUUGACUGUCCCUUUCCUGAGUGCAGUGGCUUAAAAAAUGAAACCAAGGAAGCACCCAGGAGGCAUCUGGUGUGUUUGUAGCAAGACCCUGUGUCCUAAAAAUAAAGUACCCCCAAACAAACUCUUUAACUUAUUGACUGGCUCUUGGUAUCUAUGGAGGUUUGGGUUCUAGGAUCCCCACAGAUAACAAAAUUUGUGGAUGUUCAAGCCUUGUGAAAUGGUGCAUUUGUAAAUAAUCUACCACAUUCUCCUGGGGGCACAUUUUGUUUGUUGUUUGGAAGAGUGUUUUGUGGCUCAGGCUGGCUUUGAACUUGGUAGGUAGCCAAGGUUGACUUUGAACUCUCAGUCUCCUUCCUUAUUCUCUAAGUAUUGGGAAUCAGGAUGUAUCCCAGUGCUGUAGGCUCCUGUGUGCUCUGGUAAUCCCUCCUUUGCUUAAAACGUGGGCUACAAUGUAGAUACCAGGAGUUGUUACAUGGUUGCAGAUACCAGGAGUUGUUACAUGGUUGCUUAAGGAAGACGGGCAAAGCCAGAACUCUGCAAUGUAUGGUACAGGAAGAUUUAUUUCCUUUUAUAUUUUUAUUUUUAAUUACUAUGUGUGGGGGUGAGUGUUUUUAUCUGUGUGUGUAUGUAACAUGUGGGUGCCAAGUGUCUGAGAAGGCCUGAAGAGGACACUAGAACCCCCAGAACUGUAAUUAUGAGUGAGUGUGAGCUGACAUGUAAGUGCUAGGAAUUAAACCUGGGUCCUCUGCAAGAACAGCAAGGGUGCUU
rnacentral:lncRNA from 1 species